AACACUAUACUUUCAGGGAUCAUUUCCAUAGUUCAUUACUAGAGAAGUUUCUCUGACUGUAUAGAGUACCAGAGUCCAGGAGAAGGGGACGUAGCUUUCUCUCCCGUGCCCAAAGCCGGCUCUUGGUGUUGCUUUUCUGUUGCAACUGCCAUCUGCCAUUGAUGAUUGCUCUUCUCUCCUUUGGGAGAGCAGAGGGAGAGGAUGCUGUCUGAGCGGG
ensembl:snoRNA U3 Small nucleolar RNA U3